rnacentral:lncRNA from 1 species
UGUUUGUGGACAACUGGGGAAAUGUGCUGUGGACUACAUGUCAGGUGCUAGCGUCCUGCCGCUAUGAUGUUAGUUCCUCGUGUGGCUGUCAUACUGUCAUUAUACAGGGUAAUCCUUUUGUUCUUGGGAGACAAAGGCUGAAGUGUCUAUAGAUAAAAUGAUACUGAGUGAUUCAGCAAGAAAGUAAGACGUGUUGAGAGAAAGAAAGCAAGGACAACAUCUCAUUAAUGAGUUAAGGGGACAGUAUCUGAUAUUCAUUUUAUUCCUUCUAACUCUCCUAUAGGAUUGGAAAUAUUUGUGCUAAAAUUUGUGGCUCCUCUUUUUUUUUUUUUUUUUUUUAUUGUUUUAGAGCUUUAUUGUAGAAAGACAGAGAGAAAGAGAGAAGGUAGAAAGAGGGAGACUGGCCAUGGCCACGUGGAGAGAGGGGGAAGGGAGGGAGAGAAGGAGAGCUAGAGAUGAGAAAGGUGAGAGCUUAAGAGCAAGUUUGUGGCUCUUAAGCAUGUGUUGGUACGUGUGUGCUCUAAGUCCCUUCUGCAGCAGCGGCUCCUCUUCCAGUAUCUCCAGUGUAACUGUGGUUAGUUAUGCCUGCAGAUGGCAGUGGGCGCUUCAGAACAACAGGGUGACUACACCCUUACCUGUAAUACCCAGCAUUUUAGUUUCUAGAUUUUCAUGAUACCAUUGUACUAUUUAAGUAAUGGAUAAAUUGGGUUGUGUAGAUCACAGCUGUAAUACUGGUAUCAAGGAGACAGAGGCUGGGAGUCUCUGACUUGAAGGACUAUAUGGUGAGACUCUGCAGCAAAAC